rnacentral:sRNA from 1 species
UUGACAGCCCUGGAGACAGAAGUCCCCUAUCAGCAGCACAUUACAGCCAUGAGAGAGGCAAUGGGUGUUUCCUACAGUGACCUGCCAACGUGCCAGGGCCCUGACCCAGAGGGACCACCUUUAGACUGGAGAAUGGAGUUUAGUUUCCAUGCUCAUUCAUGGCCUAACCUUA